rnacentral:rRNA from 1 species
CGGACGGGUGAGUAACGCGUGGAUAACCUGCCUCACACUGGGGGAUAACAGUUAGAAAUGGCUGCUAAUACCGCAUAAGCGCACAGUACCGCAUGGUACGGUGUGAAAAACCCAGGUGGUGUGAGAUGGAUCCGCGUCUGAUUAGCCAGUUGGCGGGGUAACGGCCCACCAAAGCGACGAUCAGUAACCGACCUGAGAGGGUGACCGGCCACAUUGGGACUGAGACACGGCCCAA